rnacentral:pre_miRNA from 1 species
GAUUUCAACUCAAAAAGUUAUCAACAACAAAGUUGAAUAACUCAUCAAGAUCUAAAACUUUUAUUUUGAUCAUUUCUUCAUCCGAUAAAGUGAUACUAACAUUGUUCACAAAAUUGACGUAUAUAUUAUCUGGUUUUAUAAAAUACAACACAUAUAUGUAAAAUUUGUGAACAAUGUUACUAACACUUUGUCUGAUGAAGAAAUGACAAAAAUAAAAGUUUUAGAUCUUGAUGAGUUAUACAAUUUUGUUGUUGAUGACUUUUUUAACACUUUGUC